rnacentral:rRNA from 1 species
UACGUAGGCAGCGAGCGUUGUUCGGAGUUACUGGGCGUAAAGGGUGUGUAGGCGGUUGUUUAAGUUUGGUGUGAAAUCUCCCGGCUCAACUGGGAGGGUGCGCCGAAAACUGGAAGGCUAGAGUACUGGAUGGGUAAGUGGAAUUCCUGGUGUAGCGGUGAAAUGCGUAGAUAUCAGGAGGAACACCUGUGGUGUAGACGGCUUACUGGACAGUAACUGACGCUGAGACACGAAAGCGUGGGUAGCAAACAGG